rnacentral:sRNA from 1 species
UGAGCUCAUUUGUAGGCUUAUCUACCUACUGAGUAAAGUAGUUGGGUGUCCUAAUUUUAUUAAUAGGAUUAAUUUUUAUUAUAAAUCAUUAGAGAUGUUUUGAUACUUUAGUUAAAACUGCUUUUUAGUAAAUUUGUUUUUCUUUGCAGAUAUGAGGGAAGGCACCAUUGGAGAUAUGGCUAUCCUGGGUAUAACAGAAAGUUUUCAAGUGAAGCGACAGGUUCUUCUGAGUGCAGCUGAAGCAGCAGAGGUGAUUCUGCGUGUGGACAACAUCAUCAAAGCGGCACCCAGGAAACGUGUCCCUGAUCACCACCCCUGUUAAGCAUUCCCACGUGCUGUCGAUCUUUGGACCAGUUUCUAGCAAAGUUGUGUUUGAAAGAUACUCUAUUAAAGAAGACUGUGGAAUCUGUUUAUCGGUGCCCAUUAUAUCCUUAAGUUUGGAUAUUUAGCUGACCUUCUCUUUAACAUAGGUCUAAUUUAUUUGCUGUGUCAUUUUCCAUACAAAUCAGUUGAUUUAAAAAAGUUCAUUUCUCAUACUGUGCAUUAAAAUAAAAAUUUGAACAAUUA